CCGGGUGAGACAUUUUUCCCUUCUGAGGACUCCGAAGGCUGAAGAAUGAAGUGUUAAUGUCAGGGCUUGGAGAUGGCUCAAUGGGUAAAGCGUUUUCCACAAACCAGGAAGGUCAGAGUUCAGAUUCCCAAGAUCCACAUAAAAACCAGGGAAUCUGUCCCCUUGGAACCAUCACUCUUUUACAUUUCAGUCAAAUUAAUGGAGAUGAAGUAACAGCUUACUCUACCCAUUUUUAAUAAACAUUUUAACUGGGAA